rnacentral:rRNA from 1 species
AGCGAACGCUGGCGGCGUGCUUAACACAUGCAAGUCGAGCGAAGGUGUUUCAAGGGUAACCUUGAGAUACACUUAGCGGCGGACGGGUGAGUAAUACGUGGAUAACUUACCUCUAGGCCUGGGAUAACCCCGGGAACUGGGGCUAAUACCUGAUAAGACCACAUUGUCUACGGACAAAGGGGUAAAAGGUGGCUGUGCAAACAGCUAUCGCCAAAAGAUAGGUUCACGUCCCAUCAGGCAGUGGUGAGGUAAUGGCUCACCAAACCAAAGACGGGUAGCCGGCCUUGGCGGGUGAACGGCCACACGGGGACUGAGACACGGCCCCGACUCCUACGGGAGGCAGCAGUGGGGAAUAUUGGGCAAUGGGCGCAAGCCUGACCCAGCGACGCCGCGUUGGGGAAGAAGGCCUUCGGGUUGUAAACCCAUGUCGGGAGGGAAAGAUAGGGUCGUGUUUGUCUAAUACCAAACGGAC